CCUACGGGGGGCAGCAGUGAGGAAUAUUGGUCAAUGGGCGGGAGCCUGAACCAGCCAAGUCGCGUGAGGGAAGACGGUCCUAUGGAUUGUAAACCUCUUUUGUCGGGGAGCAAAGAGACCACGUGUGGUCAAAAGCGAGAGUACCCGAAGAAAAAGCAUCGGCUAACUCCGUGCCAGCAGCCGCGGUAAUACGGAGGAUGCGAGCGUUAUCCGGAUUUAUUGGGUUUAAAGGGUGCGUAGGCGGGACGGUAAGUCAGCGGUAAAAAUGCGGAGCUCAACUCCGUCGAGCCGUUGAAACUGUCGUU
rnacentral:rRNA from 1 species